UACGAACCGUCCAAACGUUAUUCGGAAUCACUGGGCUUAAAGGGUGCGUAGGCGGUCCGAUAAGUUGGGUGUGAAAGACCUCGGCCUAACCGAGGAAUUGCGCCCAAAACUGUGGGACUUGAGUAAGGCAGAGGUGAACGGAACUUAGGGUGGAGCGGUGAAAUGCGUUGAUAUCCUAAGGAACACCAGUAGCGAAAGCGGUUCACUGGGCCUUUACUGACGCUGAUGCACGAAAGCCAGGGGAGCGAACGGG
rnacentral:rRNA from 1 species